rnacentral:rRNA from 1 species
UGGGGAAUCUUCCGCAAUGGACGAAAGUCUGACGGAGCAACGCCGCGUGAGUGAAGACGGCCUUCGGGUUGUAAAGCUCUGUUAUUCGGGAAGAACGAUUCGUUUGUGAACAAUGAACGGAAUUGACGGUACCGAAAGAGAAAGCCACGGCUAACUACGUGCCAGCAGCCGCGGUAAUACGUAGGUGGCAAGCGUUGUCCGGAAUUAUUGGGCGUAAAGAGCGCGUAGGCGGUAUGGUAGGUAUGUCUUAGAUGUGCGGGGCUUAACCGCGUGAGGGGACAGAGACUGUCAUACUGGAGUCUCGGAGAGGAGAGCGGAAUUCCUAGUGUAGCGGUGAAAUGCGUAGAGAUUAGGAAGAACACCGGUGGCGAAGGCGGCUUUCUGGACGAGCACUGACGCUGAGGCGCGAAAGCGUGGGGAGCGAACAGG